rnacentral:rRNA from 1 species
UACGUAGGGGGCAAGCGUGUCGGAUUCAUUGGCGUAAAGAGCGUGUAGGCGGUCCGGUAAGUCAGCUGUGAAAGUCAAGGGCUCAACCCUUGAAUGCCGGUUGAUACUGUCGGGCUAGAGUCCGGAAGAGGCGAGUGGAAUUCCCGGUGUAGCGGUGAAAUGCGUAGAUAUCGGAAGGAACACCUGUGGCGAAAGCGGCUCGACUGGACC